UACGCAGGGUGCGAGCGUUGUCCGGAAUUAUUGGGCGUAAAGAGCUUGUAGGCGGUCUGUCGCGUCUGCUGUGAAAAUCCGGGGCUCAACCCCGGACUUGCAGUGGGUACGGGCAGACUAGAGUGUGGUAGGGGAGACUGGAAUUCCUGGUGAUAGCGGUGAAAUGCGCAGAUAUCAGGAGGGAAACACCCGAUGGCGAAAGGCAGG
rnacentral:rRNA from 1 species